GCCACAAAUUCCUCUGUGCGAGAAGAGAGGGGAAGUGUGCGAACACAAGGGGCUCUUACGAAAAAUAAACAACAAACCCGGAACAAUUUAGUUGCCUGGAAUUACUUUCGCCUGGGUAUACGCAACAACCAGGAAAACACACACGCUCACACACACACGUGCAGCAAUUUGGACACUUUCUUCACCGCAAACAGAAUGAAAAACCUCCUUUGCCAAUGACUGACUGACACGACUGCUCAGCGCUGUCACUUGUGACUACUCAAUUACUCAUCCCCAACCCUAAUUUCAACUCGGCAAAGCCAGUUCUUCCAAUCAAAGAGCAAGGAGAGAUUAAUUUCAGACAUCAGGAGAGAUGAUAAUGACCUCAACCUGGACCAUCAUCAAAACUGCCACAAGUGAGCUCGCCCUGGCCUGCACUUCACCUCAGAGUGUGUGUGUAUGUGUGUGUGUGUGUGUGUGUGUGUGUGUGUAUAUGAGUGUGAGACAUGCAGCUUCUGCACAGAAGGUUCUUCAUCUGACAGCUCCCCAUCUGUUCUUCUGUGUCUGUCUCUCUCCAUCUCUGUCUGUCUUUCUGCUUGUGUAUUACAGUUCCAACUCACACAGCGACAAUUUCAAGGACACAAACACAACCUUCACACACAUAUACACACACACACACACACACACACAACACAUACUACUGAUUUAUAAGUACUGUUUAAUAUUACUUUUUUAAACUGCACUACUAUAUAUUACUACUGUAUUACUAUUGUUUAUAUGAUUCUCAUUUUCUUCAAAAGUAUAUUUAUAUUUUAUAUAUUUUUAUAUUUUAGAUAUUUUUAAAUUAUAUAUUUUUGUACAAUUGAUAUAACCAGUAGCAAUAUUUAACAAGUGUAGUAUUGUGUACUGUGAUGCAAUUUAUCAGUUUGUUCAAGUUUUUGAUUUGAUUUGAAUACAAUGCUAAAAAAAAACCCAUUCUGCGUAUAAUACAGUGUUAGGUGCUGAGGAGACCACAGCGAAGCUGACGUGUGUAAGAGUGUAAGCAGCGCCACAUCGCUUCCGGCAUUAUGACUCAUGGGAGGAUUCGUUUUUAUGACUCGAGUCAGCGUUUUGCAGCACAAAGCCUUAAAUCACAUGCACACACACCUUUUUACAGAAAAAGGAGAGAAAAGCGGUUAGUUUUGAAGGUUUAUUGGAGUUCGGAUGGCGAGCAUGUCAGCCCGCGUUUACUAGUCGGAAAAAAACCUGGUCAUAGGCAGAUAUUAAUGCAGGAGCAGAUGGCAGAGUUUACAUAGCACAGAUACAUCUCUCCACUCCUCCUCCUCCUCCUUCUCUCUCUCUCUCUCUCUCUCUCUCUCUCUCUCAUACUGCUUCAAUCUUGAGAACAUUUUCACACACGUCUUUUACAGGAACAGCAAGAAACUGGCGAAGACAAAAACUGCAUGAACGGAACCAACAGAGAGAAUCACG